rnacentral:rRNA from 1 species
AUUGAACGCUGGCGGCAGGCCUAACACAUGCAAGUCGAACGAGUGGCGGACGGGUGAGUAAUGUCUGGGAAACUGCCUGCUGGAGGGGGAUAACUACUGGAAACGGUAGCUAAUACCACAUACCAUCAGAUGUGCCCAGAUGGGAUUAGCUGGUUGGUGGGGUAACGGCUCACCAGGGCGACGAUCCCUAGCUGGGCUGAGAGGAUGACCAGCCAAACGGGCACUGGGACACGGUCCAGACGCCUACGGGAGGCAGCAGGGGGGAAUAUGGCACAAUGGGCGCAAGCCUGAUGAAGCCAUGCCGCGUGUAUGAAGAAGGCCUUCGGGUUGUAAAGGACUUUCAGCGGGGAGGCGUUACCCGCAGAAGAAGCACCGGCUAACUCCGUGCCAGCAGCCGCGGUAAUUC